AGCUACGAGCGCGGACGAUGAUUGCGCGAGAUGUCGAAGGCUUAGAUUGAUAAUUGACUCGGACCAUGCAAUUGUAACGACCGUUGCGUAUCGACUCUGUGUAAUAGACUGACUUUCCGUCACGAUGAUGCUGCGAAGGAAAACUGUGAUGGGGUGUGUCUAAGGAUGCGAGAUCAUCGGAUUCGUUGAGAAAAGCUUUGGUUCGGAAAGUGAGGGAAAUGUACGUCAAUGUUUAUUGGCUAAUUCGUGUUGACGAAGUUGCUAGCGGGAAGCGUCGUACGUGAGAGAAAGCAGAUUUCUCGUGUGUUCCCGUAGUAGGUGGUAGACUUAGAGACUGAUAAACAAAGACUGUUUGUCUCUUUGGAAGACCUUAGCUAAAAUAAAUCCUAAGAUUUAUAGCGGGUCCUUAGGCUAGCUGAAAAUAUUCG